GAAAAUCUGCACUAGAUAAGGAUAGCGAAAUUUGAAAGUUGAAACUGAGGGCAUUUCCGUGAAUUACAAUCGAAAUUCAGGUAUGGAAAGGCGGCAAAUUUGUGAACUCUCUGCCUAUGAAAAGAGUGGAGGUUAGCUGGCAUUUCUGUUCCUUCUCUCAUACUUUCCUAAUUGUCUUCAUUCUCCACCCAAAAAACCCCCUCUUUUGGAGUUUUGAUCUAAUACUCUGGUAAAUCAGGCCCAUUCCCCUAAAACCCUUAUUUCAUUUUCCCCUUUUGAGUCCAAUUUCAGUUCCUCUGUGAUAUACAUCUGCUUUCUCAGGGAUGGACCAAGGUGUCAACCUAGUACUGAAAAUGAUUGAACAGGAUGGUGCAUCUCUAGCAAAGAAAGCUGAAAUGUGUAAACAGACUAGGCCAGAUUUGAUUGAUGAAAUUGAGAAAUUCUAUUGUUUGUAUCGAUCAUUGGCUGAGCGCUAUGACCAUUUGAAUGUGGAAUUAUACAAAAGUAUACCAUCAGAGUUCCAAAUGCAGGGUGCUGGCAAUGCCCCUGACACACCAAUGCUAACUCCUGAUCAAAAACUGGGAUCACUCAAGUCUGGUCGAGUUGCAUCUGUCAGCUCUGGUGGCUCUGACUCAUCAUCAUCAUCAUCAGACUCUGAAUCAGAAUCUUUCAACUCCUCUGGAAAUGCCUACUAUAGCCUCCCCAUAAGCACUGAUCAUAAGGGCCAGCAUCAGAAGAUUGAGUUGGGGACUGGUCUUCCAAAGAAGCUCAAGAUGGAUGUGGAAGAAAAUCGAGAUGGUGUGUUGAAUGUGGAAGAAAAUGAAAAUUAUGAAGAAUUGCGCAGCAAGGUUAUCAGGUACGAGGAAGAGUUAAGAGUUUUAAAGCUAAAAUUGCAGCUCUCAGAAGAGGAAGUUACUGAGUUGAAAAACGAGCUUGCAAAGAGUAAACAUUUUAUGAUACUAGCAGAAACUUUACAGGCUCAGCUUGAAUCAGCAGAUAGAGAUGUCAAAAUGAGGGAGGCUGAUCUUGAAGAGGAAAGAAGGAGAGUAAUGGCACUGCAAAAACAAGCAGUUGAUGAUAAACAUGAAUUGCAAGGUCAGCUGAAAUUGGCUCAAGAUGAAAAAAUCAUGUUGAAGGCCAUGCUUGAUUCAGAGAGUAAUCAAGUUCUAGACUUGCAGGAGAGGAUUGUCCAGUGUGUAAAUGAUUUAUCUGAUCGCGAUGAUGAGAUCAAAGCAUUAAAACUUAAAGUACUUAAUGCCGGGGAGAAUUUCUUGAUUGAAAAAUCACAUAUGCAGUCAAAGAUAUCUAGUUUGUCGGAGAGAGAGAACUUGUUGGAGGUAAGGCUCAGAGAACUGGAAUUACAAGGAAAAACCAUGGAGGAUAAAUUAAGGCAAUUCCAAACUGAGAAAAUGGAAUUGCAACUUUUACAUGACACCCACAGGAUGGGAUUGGAAGCAGUGAUCAGUCAGUUGAAGGCAGAAGUUGGUGACAGAAGUGGGCAUGUAGAAAUUCUAAAUAAAAACCUUGACAAUCUUAAAUUCAAGUAUGAUAUGCUUAUGGCAGAGAAAGAUGGGAUGAAUGCUAAGGUAAACACACUUGUUGCAGAUUUGAGCUCACGAGAAAAUCAAAUUGGACAAAUGGAGGAGCACCUUCGGCACAUGCAUAUGGAAAAUUUGGAACUCAUUGCUGGGUCUGAAAGCGUGCGAAAGCUAGUCCAUGAGCUAAGAUUGAGAGCAGCGGAGUUAGAGAAGGAGGUGGACAAGCAGAAGGGUGAGCUUUCUGCUGGUGCUGAGGAGAAAAGGGAAGCAAUAAGGCAGCUUUGUUUCUCCUUGGAUCAUUAUAGGAGUGGUUAUAAAGAGCUUUAUGAAGCAUUUCUUCGGCAGAAGCGACAUGCAUUUAUGGCUUCCUAAGGUCUCCCAGUUCUAUCAUUGGACUAGUAAGGUUUCUAUAGCUCAUUUGCAUGUUUUGUAUGUGUAUGAAAAAAUUGUUGUUUGUCGUGGAACUUUUUUCCUUGUUGGAAAGUUUUGGACCUCCAAGCAUUGUAUUUUUGGGUCAUUAUCAAUUUAGAUAUUUGAUUAUAGCUAAUCUUGAAAUUCCCAUGAUGCACUGUAUUCUGAAUCUUGGAGAUGAAUACAAUCAUCUUAUGAAAUGGCGUGAGAAAAGAAAGUUGAAGCUUUUUCUCAUCUGGCUGUAU
rnacentral:misc_RNA from 1 species